GGUGCUCAGGGCAGUGCUCAUGCUCAGGCGAAUGCGCCUACAGCACACAAGUUCUCAGCAAGCUUAAGGUCCCCAGCUCAAAUGUCCAAAGAGGCCAAUUUCAAGGAAAAUGCAGAGUAAACGUCCUUGAGGACAAGGGCCUUUGUCUUCUACCAGCACUGCUGUUGUGGCUACUUUGGAUUCCUGCAGAACUGUGUGAAAAGGGUGGAGUUAAUACAGGAAAUUGGUUACCAAGAAACUCAAAGGUUGAAGGAAAGCAAGACACAACAAAGAAAAGACAGAUCACCCAUGGCUGAGAGCAGUGACCUCACCAGAGUCUGGGGGACAGAAGGGAGUUGCCCGAGCUGCCAAAGCCCAAGAAAUCAGAGCCUUAAAGGACACUCGAAGAACAUUAAAAUGGUUCUGAGAGGUAUGGAGCCACAGGGAGCUGCAGUUUUAGCUCCUAGCUAUACUCGGCACCUCAGUUCCCAUGAAGAAUCAGCCUUCUCUCCUCCUGCUGGGAACCCCUCCUGGUGAGGGAUCCUGGGGGUGGCAGCCAUCUUCCCACAGCCUGUCACUGAGAGGAAAGAAUGGCACUGGGUCCAGUGUAACUGGAGGAUGUGACAACUGGAAGGACACAUGAGUGAUGGAGAAAUGUCUUUGUAAUCAGAACUAUUCGUUGGCCCUCAGCAUCUCCUAUCCAUUCCACUACGCAGACGGGGAGACUGAGUCAGUGGUGACUGGGAGAUCUGCACUGGCUCAGUCAGAAGCAAGACCAGACUGUUUCCAAGCUCUGAGCUGAAAGUGUCUGUGCUAGCUUUAUGCAGUUGCUGACCCGUUCCCGCUGGUGGGCACUUUGAUAAAUCAUUUCAAUUAGAAACAGAUGUUAUCAUGCUACACACAGAGAUGUAUCUUCCCAAGGUUCCAAACCAGCGAUGUUGCUAUUUAUGACUUCCAGUCGGUGUGUGGUCAGUGCUGGCCUAACCUCACACACGAACAAAUAAGCACACGGCAACGUUAGCUUUGGUGUUUCAGGAGAGCCGAGUAUAGAGUUGUGUGUCCUCCCUAGACAUAAGAUUAAUCUUGUUUGGGAAAUGGGCAGGGGAAAUAAGAGUUUGGGUUUUUGUGCAAAACAUCCAGCAAAUAACACAACAAAGGAGACUGUAGGAAUCUCUGUCUGGGAGGUAAUCACUGAAACAGCCUUCCUCACUCCAUGACACCUGGUUGAAACCAUCAUAGUUUGAGGACCUAAACUUGCAUGAAGAGGCAGUCCCAUGUCAUUUCUCCCGUAUUUAAUAUUCAUAUGGCUUUUGUUUUCUGAUAAUGACUCCCACUUAGCAAUAAAAUUA
rnacentral:lncRNA from 1 species